AACGGAGAACGCUGGCGGCGUGCCUAAUACAUGCAAGUCGAGCGAAUGAAGAGGAGCUUGCUCCUCUGCAUUUAGCGGCGGACGGGUGAGUAACACGUGGGUAAUCUGCCUGUAAGACGGGGAUAACUCCGGGAAACCGGGGCUAAUACCGGAUAAUAAGAAGAAACGCAUGUUUCUUUUUUGAAAGUCGGUUUCGGCUGACACUUACAGAUGAGCCCGCGGCGCAUUAGCUAGUUGGUGAGGUAACGGCUCACCAAGGCGACGAUGCGUAGCCGACCUGAGAGGGUGAUCGGCCACACUGGGACUGAGACACGGCCCAGACUCCUACGGGAGGCAGCAGUAGGGAAUCUUCGGCAAUGGGCGAAAGCCUGACCGACAACGCCGCGUGAGCGAUGAAGGCCUUCGGGUCGUAAAGCUCUGUUGUAAAAAAACUUAGAAGU
rnacentral:rRNA from 1 species